UACGUAGGGUGCGAGCGUUGUCCGGAAUUAUUGGGCGUAAAGAGCUUGUAGGCGGUUUUGUCGCGUCUGCCGUGAAAUUUCGAGGCUCAACCUCGAACUUGCGGUGGGUACGGGCAGACUAGAGUGUGGUAGGGGAGACUGGAAUUCCUGGUGUAGCGGUGAAAUGCGCAGAUAUCAGGAGGGAACACCGAUGGCGAAGGCAGCUCACAAAACCAUUAUUGACGCUGAGGCACGAAAGCGUGGGGAUCAAAACAGG
rnacentral:rRNA from 1 species